GCCUCACUCUUCUCCUUCUUGCACAGUCACUCGGUUUUUGAGAACUGUCUACUUCACACCGAUUUACCAUAGAGUGUCAUACUGUUUGUAUUCCUUCAUAAUUGACGUAAAUGAAGUUCGAGACAUAUUCAGUGUCUUGGAAAUGUUCAAGUAUCCAUCCCCUGA